UGCCCAUCAGAGGGGGAGUAACAUCCGGAAACGGAUGCUAAAACCGCAUAGGUCUUCGAACCGCAUGGUUUGAAGAGGAAAAGAGGCGCAAGCUUCUGCUGAUGGAUGGACCCGCGGUGCAUUAGCUAGUUGGUGAGGUAACGGCUCACCAAGGCCGUGAUGCAUAGCCGACCUGAGAGGGUGAUCGGCCACAUUGGGACUGAGACACGGCCCAA
rnacentral:rRNA from 1 species